rnacentral:rRNA from 1 species
AUUGAACGCUGGCGGCAGGCUUAACACAUGCAAGUCGAGCGAGCGGCGGACGGGUGAGUAAUGUCUGGGAAACUGCCUGAUGGAGGGGGAUAACUACUGUAAACGGUAGCUAAUACCGCAUACCAUCAGAUGUGCCCAGAUGGGAUUAGCUAGUAGGUGGGGUAAUGGCUCACCUAGGCGACGACCCCUAGCUGGUCUGAGAGGAUGACAAGCCACACUGGAACGGAGACACGGUCCAGAAUCCUACGGGAGGCAGCAGUGGGGAAUAUUGCACAAUGGGCGCAAGACUGAUGAAGCCAUGCCGCGUGUGUGAAGAAGGCCUUCGGGUUGUAAAGCAAUUUCAGCGAGGAGGCGUUACUCGAAGAAGAAGCACCGGCUAACUCCGUGCCAGCAGCCGCGGUAAUUC